AAACCAGCACCUCAAGUGGUCAGGAUGAUUAUUGGGCCUAAAGCAUCCGUAGCCUGCUUUGUAAGUUUUCGGUUAAAUCUGUACGCUUAACGUACAGGCUGCCGGGAAUACUGCAAAGCUAGGGAGUGGGAGAGGUAGACGGUACUCGGGAGGAAGGGGUAAAAUCCUUUGAUCUCUCGAUGACCACCUGUGGCGAAGGCGGUCUACCAGAACACGUCCGACGGUGAGGGAUGAAAGCUGGGGGAGCAAACCGGAUUAGAAACCCCAGUAGUCC
rnacentral:rRNA from 1 species